rnacentral:misc_RNA from 1 species
ACACCCUCAAGCUCUGCUUGGUGUUGGGCGUCUGUCCCGCUUCGUGCGUGGACUCGCCCCAAAGUCAUUGGCGGCGAUCGUGCCAGCUUCUCGCGCAGCAUACGCGCUCCGGAGGCAAGUCGAUCAGCAUCCACAAAGUACUUUCCACAGU